CGCGUAGGCGGACGAUCAAGUCAGGGGUGAAAGCCCCCGGCUCAACCGGGGAAGUGCCUCUGAUACUGGUCGUCUCGAGGGAGGUAGGGGCGUGCGGAACUUCCGGUGGAGCGGUGAAAUGCGUAGAUAUCGGAAGGAACACCGGUGGCGAAAGCGGCGCGCUGGACCUCUUCUGACGCUGAGGCGCGAAAGCCAGGGGAGCGAAAG
rnacentral:rRNA from 1 species